rnacentral:rRNA from 1 species
AUUGAACGCUGGCGGCAGGCCUAACACAUGCAAGUCGAGCGGGGUUUUCGGACCUAGCGGCGGACGGGUGAGUAAUGCGUAGGAAGCUACCCGAUAGAGGGGGAUACCAGUUGGAAACGACUGUUAAUACCGCAUAAUGUCUACGGACCAAAGUGUGGGACCUUCGGGCCACAUGCUAUCGGAUGCGCCUACGUGGGAUUAGCUAGUUGGUGGGGUAAUGGCUCACCAAGGCGACGAUCCCUAGCUGGUUUGAGAGGAUGAUCAGCCACACUGGAACUGAGACACGGUCCAGACUCCUACGGGUGGCAGCAGUCGAGAAUUUUUCACAAUGGGCGCAAGCCUGAUGGAGCGACGCCGCGUGGGGGAUGAAUGGCUUCGGCCCGUAAACCCCUGUCAUUCGCGAUCAAACCUUGUUAUUUAAAAGAUGACGAGCUGAUAGUAGCGGAAGAGGAAGGGACGGCUAACUCUGUGCCAGCCGCCGCCGUAACAC